GCCAGAAUGGUCUGUAUGUACUCCGUGCUUUGAAGUGCUUGCUCAUGUAUGAAUAGAUUAUUUGGAUGAUUUGUGAAAUAUUGACUCUCAUCUCUUUCCCUUGCUCUCUUCUCCUCCCCUACUCCCCACUCUCCUCUCAUCCACCCUCUCCUCUCCCCUCCACCCCUCCUCUCUCUAGGUGUUGAAGGGCAGUAAGAAGCUGUCCCUGUCGGUGCAGUCGGUGGGGCGUAUCCCGGGGGGUUAUGUCACUAACCAUGUGUACACCUGGGUGGACCCUCAGGGUCACAGUGUCCCCCCUCCCCCUGACCUCCCAGAGCACCGCAGUGCCACCCUGAGACGCACUGACAGCCAACGAUGCAGCACCAUGCAGAUACUGCAGGAGGGAGAUGAGAAGAAGGUGAACCUGGUAUUGGACGAUGGCCGUUCACUAGGUCUCAUGAUCCGGGGUGGGGCAGAGUAUGCCUUGGGGAUCUACAUCACCGGAGUGGACCGGGGUUCUGCUGCAGAGUGUAGUGGACUUAAGGGGGGAGAAUGAACAACGCUUCAAUGGACACCUGGUAUCCUGGUGCCGAGACACACGCUUUUGACGACUUUCAGGGAGCAUGAGUCAAAACACGGACACACACACACUCCCACACACAAUGGACUCAACAUGAAUCCAUACAGUAUGCUGCAACCUUAAUGUGCGUUAUUACCGUAAAACUUCAAUGAAAUGCUGAGUCUCAAAUAUCCGCCUGUCCCUUUUAAUAGCUGGCCAAUGGCACACAUUUCAGCAAAUAAAAGCCCAUGCUAUUAUUUAAAGUUUUACAAUAGUCUA